AACGAACGCUGGCGGCAGGCCUAACACAUGCAAGUCGAACGCCGUAGCAAUACGGAGUGGCAGACGGGUGAGUAACGCGUGGGAACAUACCCCUCGGUUCGGAAUAACUCAGGGAAACUUGAGCUAAUACCGGAUACGUCCAAGGUUUUAAUCGACCUUGGAGAAAGAUUUAUCGCCGGAGGAUUGGCCCGCGUCUGAUUAGCUUGUUGGUGAGGUAAUGGCUCACCAAGGCGACGANCAGUAGCUGGUCUGGGAGGAUGAUCAGCCACAUUGGGACUGAGACACGGCCCAAACUCCUACGGGAGGCAGCAGUGGGGAAUAUUGGACAAUGGGCGUAAGCCUGAUCCAGCCAUGCCGCGUGAGUGAUGAAGGCCUUAGGGUUGUAAAGCU
rnacentral:rRNA from 1 species